AUGAACGCUAGCGGCAGGCUUAACACAUGCAAGUCGAGGGGUAUAAGUAGCAAUACUUAGAGACCGGCAAACGGGUGCGGAACACGUACGCAAUCUACCCUUACCCGGGGCAUAGCCCGAAGAAAUUCGGAUUAACACCGCAUAAGAUAUUAGAAAGGCAUCUUUCAGAUAUUAAAAAUUUAUUGGGUAAGGAUGAGCGUGCGUCCCAUUAGCUAGUUGGUAGGGUAACGGCCUACCAAGGCGACGAUGGGUAGCUGGUGUGAGAGCACGACCAGCCACACGGGCACUGAGACACGGGCCCGACUCCUACGGGAGGCAGCAGUGAGGAAUAUUGGUCAAUGGACGCAAGUCUGAACCAGCCAUGCCGCGUGAAGGAUGAAGGCCUUCUGGGUUGUAAACUUCUUUUAUCUGGGAAGAAACCUCCGAUUUCUAUUGGAGUUGACGGUACCAGAGGAAUAAGCACCGGCUAACUCCGU
rnacentral:rRNA from 1 species